GAAAGCGGCCGGCCGACUCUAUUCCUCUUCCUCGCGUACUCUCCUCUCUCCAUAGAUCUCUCCCCCACCAUGCUACAAAUGCUCAUGAAACCGCGUCAUAUGCCCACCAUUCAUCUGCCAUGAUUGCAGAAGAAACUGCUGCCCUAAACUGAUCCGGCACCACCUCCAUCUUUAAAAAGCUCACUCUAUUCCAAUUGAGUUCCAGCACGGCCGCCUCUUCACGUCCAUCUCUGCAAUUGUAAUCCAACAGGUUGUUCCCCGCUCUAGAUCUGAUCGACAUUUUGCCUCCUCCGAUUUGGUUGGAUUUUCAUUGGAUUAAGCCUCCACUGAAUCGGUGCGAUUACAAUUGGAUUCUGAGUGCUGGCCUCGACGGGGGUUCAUCUUCGGCUCAAGAUUUUGUCUACUCCAACAUCACGCCUUCCGGAUUUCCACUCAAAGUUAUACACCUGCACUAUUUGAUCUGUUGCUACCUCGGGAUCUCCGAUUUUCUUGGGAUUUAUUUCAGAUUCGUUGGGAUUUCUUCCAUCCUCAGUUUGGUCGCCCGAUGUUAAUGGACCUCGAUUGACUUACGAUCUCCUGUUCAUCAUCCACACUACACACUGCCUUCUUCCAUAGGGACUAUGUUUGAACCCUUGACCUUGGGGGACCACGUCAUUCAUUCAAACAUUGUGGUUCUUUAUUUUGGUAUGAAGAAUGUCUACAAAGAGAGAAAUACUUCUGAUCCAAGUUUUAGUGUCUUAGUGUGCUUCGGUAUCAUGCCAGCAUCGGCGAGGUAAACUGGGUCUGCAAAAAGCACAUUGAUUUCCUCCCUUGAGUCCAAAAAUAAACCCUCUAUGACCAUGUAAGUUUUUGCAUUAUGUUCCUCUAACCGUUUUGUGUGGUUAAAACAACUUUUCCCAUACUGGAUUGCAUCUGAACAGAUUGAUUUUUAGUCUUCGCACAAUGCGCUCUUGAGAUUAUGGAACGCAAGAAGUAAUAUGCUAAGACAUUGUUUUUGAUUAAUUUUGUUAGGAAGUUUAUGCCAGCAUUCUGAGCAGGUGUGCAUGCAUAAAUAUAGAAUCAUUGUACAUAUCUCUGGUAGUACUGCUGUGGACAUUUUUUCUCCAUUGUCUUGCCUGAAAAAUGUAGAAUCACACUCAUGUAUUUUACUGUAUAUGUUCUGCUAUUUACUUCCUUGAUUGCAGAAUCAGAGGUGUUGCUUUUGAGCGAUUAACCAGCUGGCCCAUCUGUAAGUGGUUUUGUUUUGGCCAUCUUUUCAACUAUUUUCACUAUAAUAUUUGUAUUAACAUUUUUUAUUUCAGUUUUGGUAUUAGAUUACACACUAAUGGACUCGAUGCGUGCUUUGCAUACUUUGCAAUUAGAUUACAGUUAAUUACUUUUACAUGAACGACUAUUCUUUGAGUUUUUCUGUAGGAAGUACCGAGAGACUUUUCUUACAUUUGAUUGAGACCCAGCAGGCUUCAUGCUCAAACUAUCACAUUCUUUUAUCAAUGUUUGCAUUUCAGUGAUUGUAAAUGGAUGGAUCUGAAUUCAAAUCAUUUUUGUGAAUGUUAGCAUUUUAUUGAUUGUAAAUGAAUGUAUUGGUUAUAAAAUAUUUUAAUGCCCUCAGUACAUCUGAAAUCCCUAAAUUCGUUCAUUGAAA